AGAGUUUGAUCCUGGCUCAGGGUGAACGCUGGCGGCGUGCUUAACACAUGCAAGUCGAGCGGGUACUCGCAAGAGUACCAGCGGCGCACGGGUGAGUAACGCGUAGGUGACCUACCCCGAAGAGGGGGAUAACAGCCCGAAAGGACUGCUAAUACCCCAUGUGGUUCUGUGGGUUAGAGGCCGCAGAACUAAAGGCGUAAGCCGCUUCGGGAUGGGCCUGCGUCCCAUCAGCUAGUUGGUAGGGUAACGGCCUACCAAGGCGAUGACGGGUAGGGGGCCUGAGAGGGUGGCCCCCCACACUGGCACUGAAACACGGGCCAGACACCUACGGGUGGCAGCAGUAGGGAAUAUUGGGCAAUGGGCGAAAGCCUGACCCAGCGACGCCGCGUGCGCGAUGAGGGCCUUCGGGUUGUAAAGCGCUUUUGGAGGGGAUGAGGAAGGACAGUACCCUCCGAAUAAGCCUCGGCUAACUACGUGCCAGCAGCCGCGGUAAAACGUAGGAGGCGAGCGUUAUCCGGAUUUACUGGGCGUAAAGCGCGUGUAGGCGGUCCGGCAAGUUGGAUGUGAAAUCUCUCGGCUCAACCGGGAGAGGUCGUUCAAUACUGCUGGGCUAGAGAGCGGUAGAGGGGGGUGGAAUUCCGGGUGUAGCGGUGAAAUGCGUAGAUAUCCGGAGGAACACCAGUGGCGAAGGCGGCCCCCUGGACCGUCUCUGACGCUCAGACGCGAAAGCUAGGGGAGCAAACGGGAUUAGAGACCCCGGUAGUCCUAGCCGUAAACGAUGUGGACUUGGCGUUGGUGGGUUAAAAUCCAUCAGUGCCGAAGCUAACGCGAUAAGUCCACCGCCUGAGGACUACGGCCGCAAGGCUAAAACUCAAAUGAAUUGACGG
rnacentral:rRNA from 1 species